GAGGAAGGCAGACCCAGGGAACUGAAACAUCUAAGUACCUGGAGGAAGAGAAAGAAAAAUCGAUUUCCUGAGUAGCGGCGAGCGAAACGGAAAGAGCCCAAACCAAGAAGCUUGCUUCUUGGGGUUGUAGGACACUCUAUACGGAGUUACAAAAGAAAGUUAUAAAUGAAGCGGUCUGGAAAGGCCCGCCAAAGACGGUAACAGCCCGGUAGUUGAAAUGGCUUUCCCUCCAGAGUGGAUCCUGAGUACGGCGGAACACGUGAAAUUCCGUCGGAAUCCGGGAGGACCAUCUCCCAAGGCUAAAUACUCCCUAGUGACCGAUAGUGAACCAGUACCGUGAGGGAAAGGUGAAAAGCACCCCGGAAGGGGAGUGAA
rnacentral:rRNA from 1 species